UACGGGGGGAGCAAGCGUUGUUCGGAUUUACUGGGCGUAAAGGGCGCGUAGGCGGCCAGCGCAAGUCAGUUGUGAAAUCUCCGGGCUUAACUCGGAACGGUCAACUGAUACUGCGCGGCUAGAGUGCGGAAGGGGCAACUGGAAUUCUCGGUGUAGCGGUGAAAUGCGUAGAUAUCGAGAGGAACACCUGCGGCGAAGGCGGGUUGCUGGGCCGACACUGACGCUGAUGCGCGAAAGCCAGGGGAGCGAACAGG
rnacentral:rRNA from 1 species